rnacentral:rRNA from 1 species
AGAGUUUGAUCCUGGCUCAGAGCGAACGCUGGCGGCAGGCCUAACACAUGCAAGUCGAACGAACCCUUCGGGGUUAGUGGCGGACGGGUGAGUAAUACGUGGGAACGUGCCCUUUGGUACGGAAUAACUCAGGGAAACUUGAGCUAAUACCGUAUGUGCCCUUCGGGGGAAAGAUUUAUCGCCAUUGGAGCGGCCCGCGUCUGAUUAGCUAGUUGGUGAGGUAAUGGCUCACCAAGGCGACGAUCAGUAGCUGGUCUGAGAGGAUGACCAGCCACAUUGGGACUGAGACACGGCCCAAACUCCUACGGGAGGCAGCAGUGGGGAAUCUUGCGCAAUGGGCGAAAGCCUGACGCAGCCAUGCCGCGUGGAUGAUGAAGGUCUUAGGAUUGUAAAAUCCUUUCACCGGGGACGAUAAUGACGGUACCCGGAGAAGAAGCCCCGGCUAACUUCGUGCCAGCAGCCGCGGUAAUACGAAGGGGGCUAGCGUUGCUCGGAAUUACUGGGCGUAAAGGGCGCGUAGGCGGACGUUUAAGUCGGGGGUGAAAUCCCAGGGCUCAACCCUGGAACUGCCUUCGAUACUGGAUGUCUUGAGUGCGGGAGAGGUGUGUGGAACUCCGAGUGUAGAGGUGAAAUUCGUAGAUAUUCGGAAGACACCAGUGGCGAAGCGACACACUGGCCCGUUACUGACGCUGAGGCGCGAAAGCGU